GAUGAACGCUGGCGGCGUGCUUAACACAUGCAAGUCGAACGGGAAUUAUUUUAUUGAAACUUCGGUCGAUUUAAUUUAAUUCUAGUGGCGGACGGGUGAGUAACGCGUGGGUAACCUGCCUUAUACAGGGGGAUAACAGUCAGAAAUGGCUGCUAAUACCGCAUAAGCGCACAGAGCUGCAUGGCUCAGUGUGAAAAACUCCGGUGGUAUAAGAUGGACCCGCGUUGGAUUAGCUGGUUGGUGGGGUAACGGCCCACCAAGGCGACGAUCCAUAGCUGGCCUGAGAGGGUGAACGGCCACAUUGGGACUGAGACACGGCCCAGACUCCUACGGGAGGCAGCAGUGGGGAAUAUUGCACAAUGGGGGAAACCCUGAUGCAGCGACGCCGCGUGAAGGAAGAAGUAUCUCGGUAUGUAAACUUCUAUCAGCAGGGAAGAUAGUGACGGUACCUGACUAAGAAGCCCCGGCUAACUACGUG
rnacentral:rRNA from 1 species